rnacentral:rRNA from 1 species
GAUGAACGCUGGCGGCGUGCCUAAUACAUGCAAGUCGAGCGAACAGAUAAGGAUCUUGCUCCUGUGACGUUAGCGGCGGACGGGUGAGUAACACGUGGGUAACCUACCUAUAAGACUGGGAUAACUUCGGGAAACCGGAGCUAAUACCGGAUAACAUUUGGAACCGCAUGGUUCUAAAGUGAAAGAUGGUUUUGCUAUCACUUAUAGAUGGACCCGCGCCGUAUUAGCUAGUUGGUAAGGUAACGGCUUACCAAGGCGACGAUACGUAGCCGACCUGAGAGCGUGAUCGGCCACACUGGAACUGAGACACGGUCCAGACUCCUACGGGAGGCAGCAGUAGGGAAUCUACCGCACUGGGCGAAAGCCUGACGGAGCAACGCCGCGUGAGUGAUGAAGGGUUUCGGCUCGUAAAACUCUGUUAUUAGGGAAGAAAAAACGUGUAAGUAACUGUGCACGUCUUGACGGUACCUAAUCAGAAAGCCACGGCUAACUACGUG